UCGCCUCCCAGCUGGCAGGGGCCGGCCCCCAGCACACAUCACGAAGGACACACAGCAUCGGCCCCUAGCACACAUCACGAAGGACACACAGCAUCGGCCUCCCAGCUGGCAGGGGCCGGCCCCCAGCGCACAUCGCGAAGGACACACAGCAUCGGCCUCCCAGCUGGCAGGGGCCGGCCCCCAGCGCACAUCGCGAAGGACACUCAGCACCAGCCCCCAGCGCACAUCGCGAAGGACACAUAGCACGCCUCCCUGAGCCGGAGCCGGCAGGCAAGGGUCACGUCUCUACAAUCAGGGAGAAGAACAGAGAGGCUGCUGUGGGAACCCAGCAGGCAUCUGGCUCACUGGCACACCCGGGAGCUUGUGUGGAGCAGGGCCGGGGACAUGCAGGCCGUCCCCGCCCUCGCACUCACGUUCACGUCUGGAAGGCAGAGAAUGGACCAGCAGGGCAGCAGGCAGGUGGUGAAGGAUGCACCUAUGGUGAUGGCUUAGACAGGAACUGGAGCGGCAGGCCCUGCCGCUUUUGUGGCCAGGAUCUCCCCAGUCUCCGCCACUCCGGCCACCACAGCAAAACACCCCAGGCGGCAGCUUCAAGCAACUGACAUUUAGUUCACAGCUCUGGAGGCUGUGAGUCUAACAGGCCCCGGCAGACUGUGGUUCACAGCCAGCGCCUCCUGGCCACGUCCGAACGUGAUGAAGGGGUGAGGGGCUCUCUGAGGUCCCUUUUGUCUGGGCACUAAUCCAUCCACGAGGCCGACCCUCAUGGCCAGACCUCCCCAAAGGCCCCUCCUCCCAACAGCAUCACCUUGGGAGUGAAGGUUUCAACAGAAGAAUUUCUGGGGACAGACAUUCGGGCCAUGGUGACCUCUCUGGGGGUGCCCCUCAGUGUGAGAAGGACAGAGAGAAGAAGCUGGCUCCACAGUGCGGCCGAGCUUCUAUGAGAGAGACCCGGCCAAGCUUCUACAAGAGAGACCCGGCUGAGCUUCUACAAGAGACCCGUUGCCGUUCGCAAGUCCAAGGUGAUUCAACCUUUUAAAGUCAAGGUCAGGGUGAUUCUUCCAGGAUAAUGAGAACAUCAACACCCUUUGACUCAGGAUUAUAGUUUCUGGGCCAUAUUUUAAGGAAACAAUCCCUAAGGAGAAACAAUUGUUUUCUCCUUUCCAUGUUAGAGUGUUAGCUCUAAGAGUCAACAUUACUAGCCUAAGAGUCAAUAUUACUAUCCUGGGCACAGUGGCUCACACCUGUAAUCCCAGCACUUUGGGAGGCCGACGCGGGCGGAUCACCUGAGGUUGAGAGUUUGAGACCAGCCUGGACAACAUGGUGAAACCCCAUAUCCACUAAAAGUCAAAAAAAAAUUUAGCUGUGUGCAUUGGCGUGUGCCUGUAGUCCCAGCUACUUGGGAGGCUGAGCCAGGAGAAUCACUUGAAUCCAGGAGGCAGAGGUUGCAGUGAGCUGAGAUCGCACCACUGCACUCCAGCCUGGGCAACAGAGCAAGACCAUCUCAAAAAAACAGAAAAAGAAAAAAAAUGAGAGUAAACAUGAUUAGAAAUCACUCAAGUGUCCACAGUAAAAGAAAGGUUGGGCAGAUUACAGUACAUUCACUUAAAAUCCUAUGCCAUUGGGGAUAUAUUGUCAUAAUGCCGAAGUGAAAAUGAAAAAUUACAGUGGCCAGCAUUUUACGAUACUCACCGUGGGUCAGGAGUGUUCCGUGUUGAACUCAUUUAAUCCUCACAAAGGUCGAAGGAGUAGCUUUGAUCGGUCCCCACCUUUAUGAAUCAGGAAACGAAGUCUCGUGCCCACAGUCACACAGCCCGUGAGCAGCAGAUCCCAGGCCCCACCCUCCCUGGCCUCUUAUGGCCGCAGCCUUGGGGUCAACUCUCUCCCACGCAGCUGGAAGGCUCGAGAAUGGACAACUCUUCAGAAAACUGUUUCCUGGGCAGAGAAGGGCCGGCUGGAGGGAGAGGAGCCCAGGGGAGCUGACCAAGGCCACACGUCUGGGGUGUCGCUGCCUGGUUUACACCUGGUCCUAUGGGUGGGGCGGGUAUCAGAGGGUUUGAGCCUGACUGGUCAGGUGGGCCUGGCUGGGUGGUGUCCACUGCUGUGGGGGCCUCCACGUGGGAGGAGAAAUUCCCAGAGCCAAAGAGGAGUGUGAUCCCAGAGCACGGCUCCCAGGUGCCAACCCCGGGGAAAGCGGAGGAGGCAUGGGGAGAGGGUUGGGCAGCAGCACAGGGAGGGUUGUCAGAGCCAGGGCGGAGCGGUCUCGCCCUCCCAGAUCAGCCUCGCUGCCUGCCGGGGGUCAGGGCGCCAGGGCCUCUCCUGUGGCUGCGACUGCACCUGGAGCAGUCAGAUUCUCCCAGGCAGAGGAGCCGGGUCCAGGACCCUCUCAUUCUGCAGGGCUCUGCAGAGCGUGGGGGCAGGUGGGGGAGGGCAGCAGGACCCUCAGAAGUGGACGGACUCGGGCUAGACCCGUAAGACGUGGCUGCAUGCAGGCUGAAGCCAGCUGUGCUCUGGGAACAGCCGGGGAAAGGGGCUGUGUCCCCCAGGACCAUCGUUCCCUCUGUAAGGGGCUUUGACGGCCUGAGAAGAGGGAAGGGAGGAGUUAUCCGGCAGGACCAGGGUGGGCGCAGGUGGCAUCUGAGACCCUGUCUGUGUGCAUUGCUCUUCAUGCAGCGGCGUGGCUGGAAAACCAGAGCCCUCGCCAGGAGCGAGCGAGGCUUGACCGACAGCGCCUCUCCCUCCGCAGGGCACCAGCCCUGAGAUGGUGCAGGAGCAAAUCUACCCACCGGGCCCCAGACUGGCCACUGCAUAGGAGGGGCUGGGUCGGCCGAGACAUCUUAGGGGAAAGCUCGAGUCCCCGGAAGGUUCCAGUCCAGAGGCCCAGUGGAGGGACACACAGACCCACCCCCGAGAACACUGAAUUUGGGUCAGCGCCUGGGCCAUCUGCAGCUCCGAAGCCCACACCCUGGGGUCUCCAAGCCCCCCCAGCACAGGCUGGCGGCUCCAGGCAGAGGCUUUUCUUCCUGAGGGGUGUCUACCUGGCCCCCCGGCCUGCAGGGCAGAGCCACAGCGCAGGGCUGGCAGGCCUGUCAGGGAGGACAAAGGGACAGAGGCCGAGUCAAGACGUUGUGUCUCCCGAGCAGACGGAGCAGGUGGGGCCUCAAGCCUCCAGGGCCGCAGGAGUCGUCCAUCAAACUGAGUGUCCCUCAUUGAAAUUCUAAUGGCAACGCAGCCACAGGCAGGGCUCCUCCGGGGUGUGCCCUCCCUGCCUGCCUGGUGCUCCUGAGAGCCAGACCCAGGUCACAAGGUCACGAGGCCGCACGCAGGGGCCGUCCCUGGAGAGCUCGGGGUGGGCGCCCUGCAUGGCCUUCCUGAGGACGACAUGCCCCUCCCCCAGACGCUGGACAGACGCGCUUCUCAUGGGCAGCUGGGUUUUCCUCAGGAUUCUCCGUGACCACAUGACUCUGCCGUAUAAGAUAAAGCAUGUCCUUUGCCACCA